rnacentral:rRNA from 1 species
GGGCCCGCACAAGCGGUGGAGCAUGUGGUUUAAUUCGAUGAUACGCGAGGAACCUUACCAGGGCUUAAAUGUAGUCUGACAGGGGUGGAAACACCCCUCCUUCGGGCAGAUUACAAGGUGCUGCAUGGUUGUCGUCAGCUCGUGCCGUGAGGUGUCAGGUUAAGUCCUAUAACGAGCGCAACCCCUGCCGUUAGUUGCCAGCAUGUAAUGAUGGGAACUCUAACGGGACUGCCGGUGCAAACCGCGAGGAAGGUGGGGAUGACGUCAAAUCAUCACGGCCCUUACGUCCUGGCUACACACGUGCUACAAUGGCCGGUACAGAGGGCUGCAAUACCGCAAGGUGGAGCGAA